AAAACUAACUUCAAAAAAUAUCAUCCUAUAUUCUUCACCAUAAAUAAAAAAAAAAAGAAAAAGAAAAAAAAACUACCAACUAACUUUUUAUUGUUUAGUUAGAUACGAUUGAGGUUUUAUAGCGCACCUGUGCAACCGGCUGAAGGAUACGCGCGACGUUCGCGUGGUGCCUCUUGGAGAAGGGAGGAAGAAAACGCGUCCAAGAGUGUACCAGUUUAAGUGGGGAUACUGGCCACGCGAUCGAGAUUUAUUUAUAAGUUGAGCUUGCCGUUCCCGAUAUAUUCUUCCUUCUCGGUCACUACAUCCUCAGCAUCAUCUUCCUCAUCCUCUAUCUUUUUCUUCAUCAGUGAGUCUUGAUCUUGCUCUUAUUUCAUACUUGUUUCAGCAUUUAUUUUUCUCUUGGAUCGGCGUUCACUCCCAUACCAAGAGAGAAGAAAAGAGGGUAACGCAACAUCUGCUUAGUUCAUUUCUUCAAUCGCGUUCUACAGAUUCUCUUACUACACAACCAACCGAGUAUAAAGUAUAACAACUACACAAACAUAUAGAUCCACCAUCCAUUUAUUUCCGGCAACUUGUUUAUUUAUUAUUUUUUUAUUAUAAAUAUAAGUUGUCCGGUUUUUACGACUAUAAAUUAUGGAUUAUUAAUAUCAACACAUACGUUUAGAUAUUUAUAUUUAUAUUUUACCCAAGAUAAAUUCAUUUAUAUAUUUCUUCGUAAAGAAUAUAGCGCUUGAAAGCGACUUUCAACACCGAAGAUUAAUUCGCCUCCUUAUUGCAGGCUUCUGAUCGGUAAGAAGAAAGUACUUGAGAUGUUAAAUUUACAAUAGCAAGUAUCUAUCGAUUGUACUAUCAAUUAGUAUCCCACGAUAUAUCAACCAGCAGUAUAAAGUAGCGUAUUUUACGACUCUAAGCCGGAUACCAAUGACACGAGUCACUGAAAUAUCACUUUUUAUUGAGGCGUUGGCAAUAAACAGUUGCGCAAUAUGAAAGUUCGUAUGAUAUAAGAAGAACGGAAAUAUAUUUGCCCGUCGAUUGCUGGUAGGUGCCCUGAAGUGGGAUGGCCAAGCGCUAACGGCAUGAAACGCGUAACAAAAGGUGCAGAGUUCGAUUCCUCGGAGAGGAUAUUGAUAAGGAAAGAAGUUAUGAGAAAUGUGACAGUUUAUAGAAUAAAUGAGUGGUAAGGUUGGAAAAUUCCAGGACUCAAAAAUGAUUUCUAGAGAAGCCAUCUUUAGUUACACGGGAUGUGAAUAAACCACGUUAGAUCAAGCUUAUCAGCUGCAUUCAGUAACAAGUUUUGAUAAGACCGCAAAAAACGGAAGUGGUUGCUGAUUUAGUAACUAUAAUCAGCAUCAUUAAAAAUUUUAACGAUUAUUCUUGUGAAAAUAAUUAUAUAAUUUUAUAAAAAAAAAUUUUUAAUGUUUUUGUUACUGUAAUUGUAACUCCCUGGAGAAAGACUGGAGCAAAUGAUACGUAAAUACUUGUGUAGCGUAUGAAAGAACGCAACAAAGCGGAGCCGAUAUAAAGAGCGUAUAAUGUAUAAGAAAAUAUGUUGGUACAUUUAUAGAUGUAUGGAGUCUAAGUAAAGGGACUGCUGCUGUUAAACUGGCCCUGAAGCCUCAAGCCUCAAGAUCGACUCAACCGCGAUAUUACUUGCUCGCAAUUAUGUCUCUUGCUGCUAUUAUACCUAUCUUUAAAUUUUUAUCCGAACAUGAAUUACAUCGUAAUCGCAAAUACUCCGGUUUUUAUUGCUAGAAAGUUAUUUUUUAAGGAUUUAUCCUCAAACUUUUUAUCGCCAUUUUUCAAAAAUUAAUUACAACUUGUAAUUAUUCUUGUAAUCAAAAAAAAAAAUAAUAAAUCCUUCGACUCUAACUAUGGGUUUGAUUUUUUUUUCUUUGGCUCUGAAGAUUCAACGAGCAUUUCCCAAUAACGAUCGUGUUUCCUGAGUACCGUAUAGACCAUAAUUACAUUUUAAUUUCCAACAGCCUCCGGUAAUCGCUACCAGUAGCAUCCCUCUGUUAUUUUAUCUUUUUAUUCCCUCUCGAUCUUCUGCACUCUUAUUUUUAUUGGUUAUUAUUUUUUAUCUUCUAUUUUAUAAGUGUAAUCUUGCUACACCCAUUUCGAUCAAUUAUCUUUUAAUAAAUUUUUUUUUGUUAAA